UCUUCCUGCGUUCCCUCUCCGCCGCACAUUUUCUUCUCUGCUUUUCCUCUUUCUUCCCCAUCGAGAGACCACCAUGGAACCUGCUCCUGCUACUUCGUCGUUCUUCUCGACCCAAGCGAGCCCGUCGUUUUUUCGCACCCAAGCUCCGCCGGCGUUACUCUCGCGCCCAGCAAUCGCCCAGCUCGCGCCGCCCUGCUCCAUGGAUCCUCUCGACGCCGGCGCCGCAGGCGGAUUUGGGGGGAGUGCUAUCUGGUCGGCCUCUCUCUGUCGAAGAAGCCCCUCCCUCACGCAAGAGGAUGCGGUCACCACGACGAGCUUGCCCCUCCCUAGCGCGCGAGGUCGUCGCGGCCGCGCUCGCCGCCCGCGAGUGCUCUAAGGCUGGCACGGGAUUGCUGCACAGGGCCGACGUCGGAGCUGCAAGGUCCAUCGUCGUUGGUACUGCAGCCCACCCACCGUCGUUGCUACAUUCGGCCGACGGCCCGACGCUAUUGCUACUGCCGGCCGCCGCCAUUGCUACUUGCGGCUGAUGGCCCGACGCCGUUGCUCAGCAUGCCGCCGCCGUUGCUACUUGUGGCCGGCGACGUUGCUACAGCAGGUCGCCGCCGUUGCUACAUGUGGUCGACGCCGUUGCUACAUGCGGCCGACGGUCCAACGCCGUUGCUACAGCAGGCCACCGUCGUUGCUACUGCCGGCCGCCACCAUUGCUACAUGCGGCCGACAGCCCAAAGUCGUUGCUACAGCAGGCCGGCACCGUUGCUACUGCUGGCUGCCGCCGUUGCAACAGCAGGCCGCCGCCACUGCUACAUGCGGCCGUCGCCGUUGCUACAUACGGCCGACGCCGUUGCGACACGCGGCCUCCGCUAGCCAUUUCUUCCGGCAGAAAUGGCGAGAGCUACGACCAACGGCGGCGGUGCUACGACCAACGCUGGCGGUGCUGCGAACAUCGGCGACAUUGCUGCUAACAGGGGUGGUGCUGCUGCGAGGUUCGCCGUCGCUGCAAGCCGCCAUGGUGCUUCCUUGGUCGCCGGAGAUGCUACGAGGCAGGGGUGGCGGUGCUGCCGACGAGGGCGGUGGUGCUAGCGGCGAAGGCGCCGGUGCUUUGGGCGCGGGGGCGAGGUGGGGAAACUCGCCGCAAUCCUCUCCUUCCCGAGGUGGAUGGCCGCGCAGAGGAUGGGACCUCAGGGCGCCCUCCCUACGGCGCCGGCGGCAUCACGCUCACCAUCGUGCGGCGGAGGCGGAGGGAAGCAUAUUCUCCGGCCGCUUCCCUGCAGCGCGAGCGGCUAUCGCCACCGAGCAAUUCUUCCCAUCGGUGACGACGGCGUCGACGCAACAGGCGGUGGAGCGGUACGACUUGGUUGGGGCGGCAGGGGCAGGGAAAUGGUCCAGGACGGCAUCCAGGGCGUAGAGCCGGCGCGGGCCUUGGUCCAGGAGCUCGCAGAUUUCUGGGAUUGGAGUUCAGGUGUCAGUUUCUGGUUUGAUUCAUCUCCAGGGAUUCUAGGCCCAGGGUAGAUUGAAGGAGCAAUUCUAAAUAUGUAGUAACAGUUCAGCUCCAUAGAACCUAAUUCUUUAGCACCCAGACCUGUCUCCGGGCUAGGUAGUCUCCAGGGAUUUGAAUGAUUCGUCUCCAGGGAUUUGGCCUUCAAUAUGCAGGUGCAUGCUUGGCUGCAUGUCCAAGCUUUUAUUUUUCUUGAUUGCCAAUUUAUACUGAUUGUUAGUCUAAAACUUGCUUAAAAACCUAGCCCAGACUGGGUGAAAUGUUGUGUGUUAUAAAUUUUCUUGGAAAUGAAAAUUUGGAGCUAUGCUAAAUAGUAUGUGCAUGCUUAUACAUACAAAUACACCAAUACUUUUAACCAUAUAUCCAACAUGACACAGGUUUACAGCUAUCUGACCAUUGACUACUUGAAGAUGUUCCAGCAACUGUCGUUGCUCUAGGACUGUGAGUCCGUCCACAUUUCUUCUUUUUACAGCUUUUGCACUUCUCAGGUUGAAUUUAAACUGGUUGCAACAAAGGUUCUUUUGCUACUGAACUUCCUAUUUCUUUAUGUCAGUGAACUCCUUUUAUGAUAAUUGAUCUCUAACAUUGAUAUUGGUUGUUUACAUUUAGUUUCUUUUUUAUUGAUGAGCUGACUGGCUUUGAGGUCAGUGUGUUCCAGGUUAGUAUAUUUUCUAAUUCAAAUAGGCUAGGCAAUAACCAAUAUUGCACUCACGUAGUUGCCAGAUAAUGAACGAUAGUUCGAGAUCAUCUUUCUGAUCAACAGCCAUUUUUUCUAACUGACUUUGUGUUUUUCCUGAACCAUGCAGUUCCCACAACCUUUUGGCUUCAUUUUCACGUGGUUUGCAAGCAAGGUUCCCAGAAAGUUUCAGGAAUGUGUGUUUUGCGGGACCACAUCAGAGGGCUUCACUUUUUCAUUGUAAUAAGCCGGAAUUGCAUUCAACAAUUUUUAUAAUAUCUGAACCAUGAAGUGCCAUCCUCUCACUGCUUAUCCUUCAUUAUUUGAUUAGUCAAACUGUAAUGUCAACAGAUGAUGGAAACCUUGCUUGCAAAGUUAUUAUAUAAUAAACUUACCUCUAAUAUUUGUCUUUCUUGGACUUACUUUUUAUUGUAUUAUUACAUGUAAACUCUUUUUGAUUUAAUUACAUUAAUUCCUGUCUCCAAUAUUAUAAUGGUCACUUAUACUUUGGUUUUCAAGCUAAGCCCGAUUCCCUUAUCUUGGAUACUUGGAUCAGAGUGCAUGAGAAGGUGGAGAGCAUGAGUUUUAAUCUUCAGAGACACCUGAGUAGCCCUGAAUACAUGAAGUCAUGAAUUUUGCAAGUUCCUUGACGUAUGCAUUACUUGUGAACAAAUAUUUGAUUGGCCAAGUUCAUUCAUUGUUUGAGGUAUGUACCAUGCAUGUCUAAUAAUACAACAACUGAAUUGUACAGGCCUCACGCUUCAUGAAUGUAGUACAACUCUACAGUGUCCAAACGCUCUUGGCAAAUCCCAGUAUUAUGUGUGGCCAUUGGUCUUUCAGAGGCUAAUAAUGAAAGUCGUUUUUAUUUAUGUGUCCUGGAGUCGUGGUUUCAGAGAAUCAAAGGAAGGUGAAGAUGCAAAAAACUCAGAAUAGGCUAACCUAAUUUAGAACCAAGGAGGCAAAGAGUGAAAGAGGCUAUUAGUAAGAAAAUAACUUGCCUUGCAGUAAACACCAAAAACCACUGUCUUACUGUUGCAAUUUUCUGACAUCUUUCCUGUGAUUUCCCUUGCAUAGAGUUCAACUGGGAGCUGACAUGGAGUUUAGCCGGGAGCUGACAUGAGUACAUGCAAGCAUGAGUUUAAUCAUAUCAUGAAAUUCUCCUGACCUACGGCAGAAUAUGUUGCUUUUUUGUGGCUGCCAGUCCAUUAUGAUUCAUGGUACGCCGUACAAGGCAUGGUUUAACAUUUAUUUACUGGAUAGUGCACAAAAUUCAUCAACCGAUCAUACUAUAGUCACCACAAUAUUUCCUAACUUCAUGUACUACCAUUUUUCUCACUGUGACUUCCUUUAGCAACUAUUUUCUUUUCAGUGUAUGGUUUUACUGAAUCCAAGUGUGCUGUUCAUAUACUUUCUCAUGGUAACAUAGCAUACCUGUGUAUGUUAGCGUGC